rnacentral:rRNA from 1 species
UACGUAGGGACCGAGCGUUGUCCGGAAUUAUUGGGCGUAAAGGGUGCGUAGGCGGUUUGGUAAGUCUGAUGUGAAAUCUAUGGGCUCAACUCAUAGUCUGCAUCGGAAACUGCCGGGCUUGAGUGUGGGAGAGGUGAGUGGAAUUCCUGGUGUAGCGGUGAAAUGCGUAGAUAUCAGGAGGAACACCUGUGGCGAAAGCGGCUCACUGGACCAUAACUGACGCUGAUGCACGAAAGCUAGGGGAGCAAACAGG